GGGGGUAUAGCUCAGCUGGGAGAGCAGCAGACUGAAGUGGUGAAUUCUGAAGGUCCCGCGUUCGAUCCGCGGUACCCCCA